UAUCUCUGUAGAGUCUGCAUAUCAAUAAGCGGAGGAAAAGAAACUAACUAGGAUUCCCUUAGUAACGGCGAGUGAAGCGGGAAGAGCUCAAAUUUGAAAUCUUCAAGGUUUUACCUUGACGAAUUGUAGUUUAAAGAAGUGUUUUCUGUUGGUGUUUUGGUAAAAGUUCUUUGGAAUAGGACAUCAUAGAGGGUGAGAAUCCCGUAUUUGACCAUUACUCCCAGCGUUGUGAUACACUUUCAAAGAGUCGGAUUAUUUGGGAAUGCAGUCCAAAAUGGGUGGUAAAUUUCAUCUAAAGCUAAAUAUUGGCGAGAGACCGAUAGCGAACAAGUACCGUGAGGGAAAGAUGAAAAGAACUUUGAAAAGAGAGUUAAACAGUACGUGAAAUUGUCAAAAGGGAAGCGUUUGACACCAGUGUUGUUUUCUCGAAAAUCAAUUAAAAAAAGUUGGAUUUUGUAUUGUUAAGACCUUAUCAGCUUACUGUACUCUUUUCUUGCUUUUUUUAAUGCACUUUUCGUUUAACAAGUCAACAUCAAUUUCUUUUGUUGUAAAAGAGUCAUUGGAAGGUGGCUUUCACUUACGGAUGAAAGUGUUUAUAGCCUUUGGCCUCUGCAAUCGGAGAGAUUGAGGUCUGCAGCGUAGAUCCUUCGGGGUUAGAUACAGUUAGAUGCUAAGUUAUAGCCUUUUCAUAGACAACUUGUUGACUAUAAUCAUCAUGUAGCUUACUCGCUUAUGGCUAUUUUACCUACGCUUAGGAUGUUGAUAGUCACAGCGUGUAC
rnacentral:rRNA from 1 species